GACGAACGCUGGCGGCGUGCUUAACACGUGCAAGUCGAACGAUGAAGCCCAGCUUGCUGGGUGGAUUAGUGGCGAACGGGUGAGUAACACGUGAGUAACCUGCCCUGGACUCUGGGAUAACCCCGAGAAAUCGGAGCUAAUACCGGAUAGGACCUUUCCUCGCAUGAGGUUUGGUGGAAAGUUUUUCGGUUUGGGAUGGACUUGCGUGCCUAUCAGCUUGUUGGUGAGGUAAUGGCUCACCAGGGCGUCGACGGGUAGCCGGCCUGGGAGGGUGACCGGCCACACUGGGACUGAGACACGGCCCAGACUCCUACGGGAGGCAGCAGUGGGGAAUAUUGCACAAUGGGCGCAAGCCUGAUGCAGCAACGCCGCGUGCGGGAUGACGGCCUUCGGGUUGUAAACCGCUUUUAGUAGGGAAGAAGCCUUCGGGUGACGGUACCUGCAGAAAAGGGACCGGCUAACUACGUGCCAGCCGCCGCCGUAAAAC
rnacentral:rRNA from 1 species